AUACGUAGGUGGCAAGCGUUGUCCGGAAUUACUGGGUGUAAAGGGAGCGCAGGCGGGGAUGCAAGUUGGAUGUGAAAUACCGCAGCUUAACUGCGGAGCUGCAUCCAAAACUGUAUUUCUUGAGGGAAGUAGAGGGAGGCGGAAUUCCUAGUGUAGCGGUGAAAUGCGUAGAUAUUAGGAGGAACACCAGUGGCGAAGGCGGCCUACUGGGCUUUAACUGACGCUGAGGCUCGAAAGUGUGGGGAGCCAACAGGAUUAGAUACCCUGGUAGUCCACACUGUAAACGAUAAUUGCUAGGUGUGGGGGGACUGACCCCUUCCGUGCCGGAGUAAACACAAUAAGCAAUCCACCUGGGGAGUACGACCGCAAGGUUGAAACUCAAAUGAAUUGACGGGG
rnacentral:rRNA from 1 species